GAUUUCUGGUCUGACAUGCCUGGCCCGCCGGGGUCACCCGCGUGAGUGCCGGUGCGCGUCUACCAUCCUUCUAGAAAACGAUUCUGCCAUUCACUUGGUUGGGAUCGCGAUCUAGAUCUUUUACUUUGAAAAAAUUAGAGUGUUUAAAGCAGGCUUUUGCUAUGAAUACAUUAGCAUGGAAUAAUAAUCUAGGACUUCGGUUCUAUUUUGUUGGUUUCUAUAACUGAAGUAAUGAUUGAUAGGGAUAGUUGGGGGUGCUAGUAUUGGCCGGCCAGAGGUGAAAUUCUUGGAUUCGGUCAAGACUAACUUAUGCGAAAGCAUU
rnacentral:rRNA from 1 species